GGGUUGGGCUGUUCGCCCAUUAAAGCGGUACGCGAGCUGGGUUUAGAACGUCGUGAGACAGUUCGGUCCCUAUCCGCUGCGCGCGUAGGAAUAUUGAGAAGGGCUGUCCCUAGUACGAGAGGACCGGGACGGACGAACCUCUGGUGUGCCAGUUGUUCUGCCAAGGGCAUGGCUGGUUGGCUACGUUCGGAAAGGAUAACCGCUGAAAGCAUCUAAGCGGGAAGCCUGCUUCGAGAUGAGUAUUCCCACCCCCUUUGAGGGGUUAAGGCUCCCAGUAGACGACUGGGUUGAUAGGCCAGAUGUGGAAGCCCGGUAACGGGUGGAGCUGACUGGUACUAAUAGGCCGAGGGCUUGUCCUCAGUUG
rnacentral:rRNA from 1 species